rnacentral:rRNA from 1 species
UGGGGAAUAUUGCGCAAUGGGGGCAACCCUGACGCAGCCAUGCCGCGUGAAUGAAGAAGGCCUUAGGGUUGUAAAGUUCUUUCGGUAUUGAGGAAGGUUGAUGUGUUAAUAGCACAUCAAAUUGACGUUAAAUACAGAAGAAGCACCGGCUAACUCCGUGCCAGCAGCCGCGGUAAUACGGAGGGUGCGAGCGUUAAUCGGAAUAACUGGGCGUAAAGGGCACGCAGGCGGUUAUUUAAGUGAGGUGUGAAAGCCCCGGGCUUAACCUAGGAAUUGCAUUUCAGACUGGGUAACUAGAGUACUUUAGGGAGGGGUAGAAUUCCACGUGUAGCGGUGAAAUGCGUAGAGAUGUGGAGGAAUACCGAAGGCGAAGGCAGCCCCUUGGGAAUGUACUGACGCUCAUGUGCGAAAGCGUGGGGAGCAAACAGGAUUAGAUACCCUGGUAGUCCACGCUGUAAACGCUGUCGAUUUGGGGGUUGGGGUUUAACUCUGGCGCCCGUAGCUAACGUGAUAAAUCGACCGCCUGGGGAGUACGGCCGCAAGGUUA